UAAUAUUAAAAUAAAAAUUAUUUGAUAAAAUUAAAAAUUAAAUAAAACAACACGUCAAUUAAUCAAACAAAAAAAAAAUCAAAAAAAAAACAUUAAUAUUUAUAUCAUUUAACCAAAAAAUAACACAAAGAACUAUAUCUAAAAAAAUUAUUUAUUUAUUCUAAAACUUCAUCUUCUUCAAGAUCGUCAUCAUCAACGUAAAACCCACGACCAGAAAAUUGUACAACAUAGAGGAUCCCAAACCAGCAACCACGACCAAACCAUCUGGCCAUGGAGAACUCAAUCAAACCUCAACCAAGAGAGAGAACCAAACUAGCUUGGGUCAUCCUAGAACAUAAUCAUUAAAGACUAAGAAAACAAACACCCACUUGAUUCCACAAAGAGAGACAACAAUAAGCAUAAAGAAUCAGUUGAGAAAUCCACAAAUUAAUUAGACCCAUUGAGGAGAGACUUCAAUUUAAAUCAAUUUGAAACACCAAAUCUGGAUAUGCUAACAAGAACCCAGAUUGUACAAGCACACUUAACGACAGGAAACAUGAAACCCAAUAGGGCCACAUAACCAAACCACCGGAAAUAAAUCAAAGCCCAGAAACCCCAUAUUCCAGCAUGAACAGUUCGAAAAGUGAUUCAAAAAAGUAUUAGAUCCAAACAAGAUCCAGCUUCCAAAACCCCUAACACCAGCAGAUCUAAAAUCCCACACCCAUAAGAGAUCCACCAUAUCAAAUUAUCACUCCUCUUCCAGCUCGCAAAAAAUUAGAACCCCUUACUAUUCAUACAAAAAGCUCCAUAAUCUACAUGACCCAUAUCAUGAUUUUUAUUGCUCCAAAUGCAGAUCUCUCCCGUGCAGUUGUCAUGCUACUAAUUCGUGAAUUGAAUCUCACUUUCGUUCGAGGUACGAUCUGUCCAAGCUUUCAAUACAGAUCAUGGUUUUUUUUUCUUCUUCUGAGUUUGUUGUGAAGAUGGCGAUGGCGAUGGCCAUGAUCUUAGUUUCCUUCUCUCCCUAUAUAUAUUCCCUUUGUUUAGCUCCACUUUCUAAUUAUAUAUAUACGCAAUCUGAUGUUCUUA
rnacentral:lncRNA from 1 species